rnacentral:rRNA from 1 species
GUAUUAUUUUAAUUAAAAUAAUUUUAUAUUUAGUAUAUUUUAUAGAAACAAUUAUUAUUAAUUAUAGUUAAUUUUACUGUAAGGGAUUAUAAAUUUAAUUAUUUGAAGUAUAAUUUUUAUUAGUACCUUUUGUAUCAGGGUUUAUUAAAUAAUUAAUAUAUAUAUUAUUAAUUCCCGAAAUUGUAAGAGUUAUCUUUAAAUGUAUUUUACUGUAUCAAAAUUAUUUAUAAUUUAAAGAUAGGGGUUAUAUACUAUUCAAUUAUAAUAUAUCUGGUUAUUUAAGAAAUGAAUUUAAUUCAUAAUUAUUAUGUUAUUUUUUAUAUUUAUUGAAUUUAAUAUAAUAAUUAAAAAUUAUGGGGGAUUAGCUCUAUAAUUUAUUUUAUAAAGAUUUUAAUUAAUUAAUUUUUGUAGGCUUGAUAACAGCCAUCUAAAAUUUCAUUAUAGUUUAUAUUAAUUAUUUAUUUUAUUUUAAAUCUUUUAUUUUUAUUAUUAAAUAUUAUUAUGUAAUUUUUUAAUGGUAGUUAAAAUGAUGGAAUUAGUAGUUUUUAUUAUUUAAAUAUAGUAAUUCGGCAAAUUUUGUCUUCGCCUGUUUAACAAAAACAUGUCUUAUAGAUAUUAAUUUUAAGUCUAGCCUGCUCAAUGAUUAAUUAAAUAGCCGCAGUAUCUUGACUGUGCAAAGGUAGCAUAAUCAUUUGUCUUUUAAUUGGAGGCUUGUAUGAAUGGUUGGACGAGGGAUAGUCUUUCUUUAUUUAAUUUUUGUGAAUUUAAUAUUUUAGUUAGAAAGCUAAAAUAUUUUUGUGGGACGAGAAGACCCUAUAGAAUUUUAUUAUUAACUUAUUAAUUUUGAAUUAAUUUGUUAAAUUAGUUUAUUAAUUUAAUAAUUUGGUUGGGGUGAUUAUGAAAUUUUAUUAACUUUUAUUUUUAAUUUAUUCAUUAAUUAUUGUUUAUUAUUGAUCCUUUUUUAAGGAAUAGAAGAUUAAAUUACCUUAGGGAUAACAGCGUAAUUCUUUUGGAGAGUUCUUAUCGAUUAAGGAGUUUGCGACCUCGAUGUUGGAUUAAAGUUAAUUUUUGGUGUAGAAGCUAAAUAUAUUAGGUCUGUUCGACCUUUAAAUCUUUACAUGAUCUGAGUUCAGACCGGCGUGAGCCAGGUUGGUUUCUAUCUACAAUGUAUUUUAAUGUUUUAGUACGAAAGGACCAAAUAUUAAUAAUAUUUAUUUAUAUUUGAUUUAUAUU